GUCGAACGCUGGCGGCGUGCCUAAUACAUGCAAGUCGAACGCAGGGGGGGCGGGUGAUUAACACGUGGGUAACCUCCCAUAAGAGGGGAUAACACUUGGAAACUGCUGCUAAACCGAUACUGAUGGAUGGACCCGGUGGGCUUUAGCUAGUUGGUGAGGUAACGGCUCACCAAGGCAACGAUGCAUAGCCGGCCUGAUAGGGGGAGCGGCCACACUGGGACUGAGAUACGGCCCAGACUCGUACGGGAGGCAGCAGUAGGGAAGCUUCGGCAAUGGACGAAAGCCUGAUCGAGCAAUGCCGCGUGAGUGAAGAAGGUCUUCGGAUUGUAAAGCUCUGUUGUUGGAGAAGCGGUAUCUACCCAGAAAGCAACGGCUAACUACGUGCCAGCAGCCGCGGUAAUAC
rnacentral:rRNA from 1 species